rnacentral:rRNA from 1 species
CAAUAGCGUAUAUUAAAGUCGUUGCGGUAAAAAAGCUCGUAGUUGGAUUUCUGUUGAGAGCGACCGGUCCAUACCAUGUAUGCGUAUCUGGCUUGCUCUCGGCAUCCUCUCGAUAGACGUUACUGCGCUUGAUUGCGUGGUGCGGAUCUCGGAACUUUUACUUUGAGGAAAUUAGAGUGUUCACGGCAGGCUUUCGCCAGAAUACAUUAGCAUGGAAUAAUACUAUAGGAUCUUGGUUCUAUUUUGUUGGUUUCUAGAAUUGAGAUAAUGAUUAAUAGGGACAAUUGGGGGCAUUCGUAUCAACACGUCAGAGGUGGAAUUCUUGGAUUGUGUUGCGACGAACUACUGCGAAAGCAUUUGCCAAGGAUGUUUUCAUUGA